ACGGGCCACCCGAUCAUCGAGUGAAUAGCCCAGGUUUUAAAUGUUACCCAAGGGCCACCCAAUCAUCGAGUGAAUAGCUAAACCUGGGCUAUUCACCCGACGAUCGGGUGGCCUGU
rnacentral:pre_miRNA from 1 species